rnacentral:rRNA from 1 species
CCUAAUACAUGCAAGUCGAACGAAGUCUUAUUUGAAGAAGAAGUGUUUACAUGGAAUCUGAUUUUAAUACUUAGUGGCGAACGGGUGAGUAAUACAUAAGCAACCUGCCUAUAUGGACUGGGAUAACGUUUGGAAACGAACGCUAAUACCGGAUAGGUAAUCGGAAGGCAUCUUCUGAUUAUUAAAGGUUUGAAACACAAAUAGAUGGGCUUAUGGUGUAUUAGCUUGUUGGUGAGGUAACGGCUCACCAAGGCGAUGAUACAUAGCCGACCUGAGAGGGUGAUCGGCCACAUUGGGACUGAGACACGGCCCAAACUCCUACGGGAGGCAGCAGUAGGGAAUUUUCGGCAAUGGGGGAAACCCUGACCGAGCAACGCCGCGUGAGUGAUGAAGAUCUUCGGAUUGUAAAGCUCUGUUGUAAAGGAAGAACAACCUUAUUAGAAAUAGGGUCUGACGGUACUUUAUUAGAAAGCCACGGCUAACUACGUGCCAGCCGCCGCUGUAACAC